AGACAGAGACACAGCAGCUCAUUCCUGGUCGAUGGAACCUUUCCUCUGGUUCACCACUGCCCAAGCUCUCUCUCCUUCCUCGUCUGUUUUACUGCUCCUUUAAGUGAGAAACUCAGCAGAGGAGCUCUAGUCGGGGUGGUGCAGGGUCAAGCAAUGGAGAGAAGAGAUAUUGGUGAACAAAUUUAGGAAUGAUGGAAGUAAACUGGAGGAACAGAAAUGCUUCCAGCAUAGGUAACCCAAUGUCUUAAGGUAAGAAAGAGAGAAGAGGGAAGACAA
rnacentral:lncRNA from 1 species